GAUGAACGCUGGCGGCGUGCCUAAUACAUGCAAGUCGAGCGAACGGACGAGAAGCUUGCUUCUCUGAUGUUAGCGGCGGACGGGUGAGUAACACGUGGAUAACCUACCUAUAAGACUGGGAUAACUUCGGGAAACCGGAGCUAAUACCGGAUAAUAUUUUGAACCGCAUGGUUCAAAAGUGAAAGACGGUCUUGCUGUCACUUAUAGAUGGAUCCGCGCUGCAUUAGCUAGUUGGUAAGGUAACGGCUUACCAAGGCAACGAUGCAUAGCCGACCUGAGAGGGUGAUCGGCCACACUGGAACUGAGACACGGUCCAGACUCCUACGGGAGGCAGCAGUAGGGAAUCUUCCGCAAUGGGCGAAAGCCUGACGGAGCAACGCCGCGUGAGUGAUGAAGGUCUUCGGAUCGUAAAACUCUGUUAUUAGGGAAGAACAUAUGUGUAAGUAACUGUGCACAUCUUGACGGUACCUAAUCAGAAAGCCACGGCUAACUACGUGCCAGCAGCCGCGGUAAUACGUAGGUGGCAAGCGUUAUCCGGAAUUAUUGGGCGUAAAGCGCGCGUAGGCGGUUUUUUAAGUCUGAUGUGAAAGCCCACGGCUCAACCGUGGAGGGUCAUUGGAAACUGGAAAACUUGAGUGCAGAAGAGGAAAGUGGAAUUCCAUGUGUAGCGGUGAAAUGCGCAGAGAUAUGGAGGAACACCAGUGGCGAAGGCGACUUUCUGGUCUGUAACUGACGCUGAUGUGCGAAAGCGUGGGGAUCGAACAGGAUUAGAUACCCUGGUAGUCCACGCCGUAAACGAUGAGUGCUAAGUGUUAGGGGGUUUCCGCCCCUUAGUGCUGCAGCUAACGCAUUAAGCACUCCGCCUGGGGAGUACGACCGCAAGGUUGAAACUCAAAGGAAUUGACGGGGACCCGCACAAGCGGUGGAGCAUGUGGUUUAAUUCGAAGCAACGCGAAGAACCUUACCAAAUCUUGACAUCCUUUGACAACUCUAGAGAUAGAGCCUUCCCCUUCGGGGGACAAAGUGACAGGUGGUGCAUGGUUGUCGUCAGCUCGUGUCGUGAGAUGUUGGGUUAAGUCCCGCAACGAGCGCAACCCUUAAGCUUAGUUGCCAUCAUUAAGUUGGGCACUCUAAGUUGACUGCCGGUGACAAACCGGAGGAAGGUGGGGAUGACGUCAAAUCAUCGUGCCCCUUAUGAUUUGGGCUACACACGUGCUACAAUGGACAAUACAAAGGGCAGCGAAACCGCGAGGUCAAGCAAAUCCCAUAAAGUUGUUCUCAGUUCGGAUUGUAGUCUGCAACUCGACUACAUGAAGCUGGAAUCGCUAGUAAUCGUAGAUCAGCAUGCUACGGUGAAUACGUUCCCGGGUCU
rnacentral:rRNA from 1 species